rnacentral:lncRNA from 1 species
AUGAUCCUCUUGAAGGCCUCUGAGGAAAAUACCGUCUGUGGAUGCUUCACUCAGUAUUACCAGAAUGUCCCAUCUCCAGGAAGUCGUAUUGGAGAAUAUAAGCUUUCGCUAUUUUGGAAGUAUUGUCACAUUACAGUCCUACAAGCGAAGAAAGCAAAUGGCAACUUCAUAAUUGCAGGUCUAGUAAGGAAGUAUUUUUAUCAUCUUAAGGACAACGUUUGUGUAUGGAUAGAGUGGUUCUCCUGGAUGGAAACAAUAUUCAUCAUUACUGACCUAGCUGGUGAGGCAAGCUGUGGUGCUCCCUGCUUACCUUCAGGAGGGAGGUAAGCAUGCGAAUCGCAGGGAAGAGAAUAGGGAUGGGGGGG